UACGGAGGAUGCAAGCGUUAUCCGGAAUGAUUGGGCGUAAAGCGUCCGCAGGUGGCUGUGUAAGUCUGCUGUUAAAGAGUGAGGCUCAACCUCAUAAAAGCAGUGGAAACUACACGGCUAGAGUGCGUUCGGGGCAGAGGGAAUUCCUGGUGUAGCGGUGAAAUGCGUAGAUAUCAGGAAGAACACCGGUGGCGAAAGCGCUCUGCUAGGCCGCAACUGACACUGAGGGACGAAAGCGUGGGGAGCAAACAGG
rnacentral:rRNA from 1 species